GGACACCUACCUGACUGACCUCUUACUCUUCCUGCAUUUCUGGUUCUUGCUAUUAUUAACCCACUGUCCAAACCCAACAAAUAUUCACGGGGCAGGAGUGAGUGGAUCAGGCCAAGAAGCAUGGAUGGGAGAGGAGGGAAAAACAUCCUAAACAGGAACCACAGGUCUAUAUUACCAUGAGAGAACUGCAGCUUGAGAUCAACCCCAAACCACCUUGCACACCUACAAAACUGAUUUGAGGAUUAACACAACAAUCUGCACAACCUGAACCAAAGAACUCAGCAGCAUUAUUCACAAUAGGCAAGACAUGGAAACAAGCUAAUUAUCUGCCAGUAGAUGGAUGGAUAUAGAAAAUGUGUCAUUUGCAAGAACGUGGAAAAACCUGGAGGUCAUUAUACUAAGAGAAAUAAAAUUCAUGAAGGCAAGAUUGGAAAUACUGAAAUAUAAGAGAGUAGUUGAACAUCAGAGGACAAGGAAGUGUCUUGAGAAGAAAAAUACAUCACAUAAAGCAAAGCUGAGCUUCUUGAGCUUCUGAAAAAGUUGCUUUCAAGCACAAAUUUCUCUCAAUUCUGCAUUUGAUUUUCCAAUCAAUUCUGCUUGUCUUCUGUCUCCAACUA